rnacentral:misc_RNA from 1 species
ACGUGCGCAUUUUUCUCUGGUUACUGAAAGAAAGUGUCGAUUGUCAAACGGACGGUGUGUACCAACUAAGGGCGGACGAUGGUUUUGCAAAAAAUGUCGAUUAGCAAAAUGCUCGGAGGCGGGGAUGAACAGUAGGAACAUACAAUACGACCGUGAUGCUAAUAAAACGUCACUUUUGAGCUCUACAAAUGUGAAUCGAAACAUGAAAAAUAAAAAUGCUAUUCCAAAUAAUCACUUCUUGGCAUCAGUAAUUUAAUUAUUCUACUUGAAAAUCGAAGUGAACCAAAUGCAUGUCCAGUUGUCGAUAUAUCCCUAUUGGUUGACAAAGCUACCAACUACAUUCUGAAUCCAGUUUUAAUAAGAAAAGAUGGCGAUAUGUCAAACUUGGAGCAAUUAUCACUUGGAUUACAAGACAUUCAAUCGUCGCAAAAAGAAAAUGUUCUGGAAAAAAAGUUCAUUACAAUCGCUGACCAUAUGAAGCAAUUUGAAAAAGCUAUGUGUGCAACAGCAAAAUGGUUGGCGUGCUCCAAAAAAAUACAGAGCUUUGAUGAUGACGUCAAAAUUAAAAUUUUGAGAACUGUCUGGUUUAAUUGGGGACGCUUGGAGCAUAUGACAGCAACAGCUAAAAUGAGGAUUCGGGGAAGCUGUGGGAAAGAACAAUUAAUGUUCUCCUCUGACACAAAACUGAACUUUGGCAAUGUGCACAUUGAUCUAAGCUGCUUUUCUAAAUAUUCAUUCGAACAAAUGCGCUACUUUUUCUCUCCAAAUGAAGUAUACUACGAUGAAGCCAUUUCUAAAAUGGUGGAGAUGCAACCCAGUGAUAUUGAAUUAACUUAUCUCAUAUGUGCGAUUUGUUUUCAUAUUACAGGCAAACACUUCGGAGGUGAUAUUGAAGAAGAAAUGGGCCAUUUACAAGAUGUUUUGGCCAGUGAUCUCCACGAUUAUUAUUGCAAAAAUAAUUUUCCCAUGUAUCUUUUGCGACUGAAACAGUUGCUAAAAAUCAAGGACACUUUUGUGAAGCUCAGGAAUAUUCGGCUCGAGAAGUAUGAAAUUGGCGGAGUCUUUAAAGUCAUCAAUAUGGAGUUUUCUCAAUGUACGCACCAAGAAUACUUUCAUGUUCCCUGUUGA